rnacentral:rRNA from 1 species
UCGAGGAUCUUCGGCAAUGGGCGCAAGCCUGACCGAGCGACGCCGCGUGCGGGAUGAAGGCCUUCGGGUUGUAAACCGCCGUCGGAGUGGAGGAAAUUCCAUAGGGUAAUCUCUAUGGAUUGACUAAUACUCAGAGGAAGGACGGGCUAAGUUCGUGCCAGCAGCCGCGGUAAGACGAACCGUCCAAACGUUAUUCGGAAUCACUGGGCUUAAAGGGUGCGUAGGCGGCCCGGAAAGUUGUGUGUGAAAGCCCUCGGCUCAACCGAGGAAUAGCGCGCAAAACUACCGGGCUUGAGGGAGACAGAGGUAAGCGGAACUUAGGGUGGAGCGGUGAAAUGCGUUGAUAUCCUAAGGAACACCAGGAGCGAAAGCGGCUUACUGGGUCUCUGCUGACGCUGAGGCACGAAAGCUAGGGGAGCGAACGG